UUCACUGACUUCCACUUGCUUCUCCAGAGACGGCAGUCAGCCAUAUUUGUUACAUGAUGAGGUGGGUUUGGAUCUUGCUGUUUUUCCCUUCUGUGUUUCUUGCUGAUAUCGGCAGGGAUCUAAUAAUAUUUCUGUAAAUGUCGGUCAUAGAUGGUGAUAUUCGUACGCAAGCUGUGUUCAAAAUGUUUGGUUCCAGCAGCUCUGCAAGGCCAUGAGGAGCCUUGUGUUAUUGCCUAUUGUGAGGGGUCAGGACUUCGACUCAGGUGCAGAGCAAUAAGGCAACAAAAACUUCUUUCCAGGUUUGGAGUCUUUUACUCGGAAAAAACUAAUGCAAGACAAAAAGGGUGCACAGGCAAAGGCGGAAUCCACACGCUCUUGUAGAAACAAAAAAAGGAAGAGGGCCUGGCAAAGAAGUAAAAACACGAUAACCAAAAACAGCACUGGGAAUUUCUUACUACAAACAUGCACCUAUGGGAAAGACAAAAGAUAACCUGACACAGACAAGUGGGGGGAACUGAGGCUUAAAUACAGGUGGAGGUGAUUGCAAACUAAACUCAGCUGUGGGGAGAAACAAAGGGUGAGAAACUAGAUACAGGAAGUGCAGUGGUUACAAAAAUAAAACAGGAAGUUAAUCUUCACUGUCUCUUUGAGUCGUCACACCUAUGAAGAGAAGACAAACCCUUUGCCAGGUUAGUGUUUGACUAUCAUUAUGAUCAUACACUGUGACGUGUUAUAGACAAAAUGUGAUAUUUAGCCUUGUACCUGGUCUUUUGCCACUUCAUGAGUAGAAACCUGAGGUUUGUGGGAGUCCUCCCAACAAUGAGCUUCUGGUUGGAUUUCUGGUUGGAAUGGAUGUGUCUAGCUGUAUGUUAAACCAUUUAUGUUAACCUGAUAUGCUGUAUCUGUACAGGGAAAACGUUGCACAUUGGGUUCAUGCACUUAGGAAGCUGCCACGGGAAGAGCCAGUGAUCAAACACUCAAAAUUUGUAGAUGUGCGGCAGAGGGCUGAAAGCGGCAUUGAAGAUGUCCUUUACUUUGUUGAAAGGUUAGUUUUUUUUCUUUAAUUAUUGUCUACCAUCUUAGCUAAAAUGCUUAUGAUGAGGUAUGUUCACUCCUAAACUGCACAUGAUUUAUUCUUAUAUGGCUUUUCCUUAAAGAUGUAUAUGAACUGCUGCUGGUUAAAGACAAUAUACCUAUAACUAAACCACCCAUCUCCUCCCAUACCAUGGGCCAGAGGAGCAUGACCACCUGGGUGAGGAGUUUUUAAAUGAUCAGACAAUGCCAACAACCUCCCUUCAGGAAGAAACGGAUAUGGAAAGCUUCUGGGCUGGAAUGGCAACCCGGAAACAUAAAGUGACAGGAGCCAAAGAAUUUCAGAGGCUUGCUGCCGUCGCCAAGCUGGUCCUGGUGUUGCCCCAUUCAGAUGCUGAUGCUGAGAGGGUGUUUUCAGUUGUGGGACUGAAUAAAACAAAAACCAGAAAUAGCCUGGCAUUGGAUGGCACCCUGUCCUCCAUCAUGGCCAUAAAGAUGGCCGACCAGGAGCCCUGCUUCAGAUGGGAGCCCCCUCAGCGGUCAUCAAGGCCUCCAAGAAGGCCACAGGCCAGUACAACCUUGCCCAUAAAUCUUAAAAAAUUACCAACCAUCUUCUGCUCUCCUUCUUAAUACCUCAUUUUUUGUUAUUUUAUUUAUGUGUAUUUAUAUUAUGUGUAUCCAUAGUUUUGCUUUGAAAGGCUACAGUUUAAGCACUUUAUUUGUUGCACUUUUUUGUUUGAUAAUGAAAUAUUUUUCCCUAACUAAACCUGUCAUUUUUUGCUGAACAUAAAUCAUUAAGUGCUCUUAAGAAUACAAAGAUUAACAGUAUAGGUGAGGUUUCAGUUAAGAAUUAGUUGAAUACCAUUGUAAUCCAAAUGUCAAUCAACCUAAAUUGGUCAAAUCUUAAACGCAGGUCUAUUAAUUAGGCUAUAUUGUGGUACAUAGACAGUCAUUGAGGCACAGCAAUAGUUUUCUGGUUGAAUGUUCAGCUCAAGUCUAGAAGGCCCCACAAGUCAUGAGCAGAUGAACAUGAAUCAGAAUAAGUUCAGGCAGACCACCCAAAAAUCCACUGGAAUGCAUGAAAUAACAUCUACUUAAACCAACAUGUCCUGGGGGUGGACCAUCAGCUGUGUCUGCUUCACAGAAUGUAACCAAUGUUGUCCAUCUCCAGCAGGCCGCCCCUAUCAACGACUUUGGGCCCCACAAACCACCAGAAUGCAGGGUACAACAUGGGUACUACGCCAAAUGAAUGAUCAACAAAAUUUUGGUCACCCCCGACAAGAUCUCACUCCAAGGUUUUUUGAAAAGUUGGCAGCUCUGUAAAUGCCAGUGUCCUAGAACAGGAGUUGUGUUGAUCAGCAGGAUGGGGU
ensembl:lncRNA